rnacentral:snRNA from 1 species
AUCACUUCUCGGCCUUUUGGCUAAGAUAAAGUAUAGUAUCUGUUGUUAUCAGUUUAAAAUGACUGCCAAGUUUUUAAUCUGUUCCAUGGCUAGCGAUACAUGCACAAUAU